rnacentral:sRNA from 1 species
GCUGGGCUGGGUGGCCCACGCCUGUCAUCCCAGCAGCUCAGGAGGCUGAGGCAGGAGGAUCGCCAGGUGGAGGCCAGCCUCAGAAAUUUAGCAAAGCCCUGAGCCACUCAGCGAGACCCUGUCUCUA